UGAGGAAUUUGUAAACUGAAAUUGAUACCAUAUUUUAAAAUAAAAUAAAUGUUGUAUUUUUUAAAUAGCAAACAAGAUUGAAUGAUUUACAUUCUCUGAAUUUAGACACCUGGAUUUGGUCAGGAAAAAUCGCUACAAAUGGAGAAAAACCAAGAGACAGAUCAUGGCACACGUUGACUCCUGUGGCAGAUGGGAAACUUUUCCUGUUUGGUGGGCUGAGUUCAGACAAUGUACCCCUAAGUGAUGGUUGGAUUUAUGAUGUUGCAACAAAUGAAUGGCAACAACUUACAUAUUUACCACAGACUAGACCUAGGUAUAAUAUG